rnacentral:rRNA from 1 species
GGGUCAGUAGGUUGGUCGUGCCACCGGUACGUACUGGUCUCACUGAUUCCUCCUUCCUGAAGAACCGUAAUGCCAUUAAUCUGGUGUUGCGGGGAAACAGGACUGUUACUUUGAAAAAAUUAGAGUGUUUAAAGCAAGCUAACGCUUGAAUACAUUAGCAUGGAAUAAUGAAAUAGGACGAUCGAUCCUAUUUUGUUGGCUUCUAGGAUUGACGUA